rnacentral:tRNA from 1 species
GAGGGUAUAGCUCAGUAGUAGAGCGUGUGCUUAGCAUGCAUGAAGUCCUGGGUUCGAUCCCCAGUACUGCCA